UCCCUGGUGGCCUAGUGGUUAAGGAUCCAGCACUGUCACUGCUGUGGCUCGGAUUCAAUCCCUGGCCUGGGAG
rnacentral:tRNA from 1 species